UACGGAGGGUGCAAGCGUUAUCCGGAUUUACUGGGUUUAAAGGGAGCGCAGGCGGUUUAGUACGUCAGUGGUGAAAGCCUUGAGCUUAACUCGAGAACUGCCAUUGAUACUAUUAGUCUUGAAUGUUGUUGAGGUUUGCGGAAUGGGUCAUGUAGCGGUGAAAUGCAUAGAUAUGACCCGGAACACCUAUUGCGAAGGCAGCAGGCUAAACAAAUAUUGACGCUGAGGCUCGAAAGCGUGGGGAUCAAACAGG
rnacentral:rRNA from 1 species